GAUGAACGCUGGCGGCGUGCCUAAUACAUGCAAGUCGAGCGAACAGACGAGAAGCUUGCUUCUCUGAUGUUAGCGGCGGACGGGUGAGUAACACGUGGAUAACCUACCUAUAAGACUGGGAUAACUUCGGGAAACCGGAGCUAAUACCGGAUAAUAUUUUGAACCGCAUGGUUCAAAAGUGAAAGACGGUCUUGCUGUCACUUAUAGAUGGAUCCGCGCCGCAUUAGCUAGUUGGUAAGGUAACGGCUUACCAAGGCAACGAUGCAUAGCCGACCUGAGAGGGUGAUCGGCCACACUGGAACUGAGACACGGUCCAGACUCCUACGGGAGGCAGCAGUAGGGAAUCUUCCGCAAUGGGCGAAAGCCUGACGGAGCAACGCCGCGUGAGUGAUGAAGGUCUUCGGAUCGUAAAACUCUGUUAUUAGGGAAGAACAUAUGUGUAAGUAACUGUGCACAUCUUGACGGUACCUAAUCAGAAAGCCACGGCUAACUACGUG
rnacentral:rRNA from 1 species